rnacentral:rRNA from 1 species
AUAUCGACAGCAAUAUCAAGCCUUUGGGCAAGGCUGGGUGUGUUGUCUAUAGUGGGCUCUUGACAUCUUGGAUGAAGCCAACUAUCCAAGUUACCAUUGGGCAUGAACUCAAAAACCAAUGCCUUGAACUCUUGUCCUUGAUGGUUGAUGCUUGAACAAGAUGUAAUGAUCUUGAUGAGACAACGGUGUCGUAUCCUUCUCAUGGCCUCAUAUUCAGCCUCAAAACUCUUGGUAUAA